rnacentral:tRNA from 1 species
GGGCCAUUAGCUCAGCUGGAAGAGCAGGGGCCUCUUAAGCCCAAGGUCGAAGGUUCGAUCCCUUCAUGGCCCA